rnacentral:tRNA from 1 species
GCUCCUAUGGCUCAGUUGGUAGAGCGCAUCACUAGUACUAUCAUGGAAUGAUGAGGUCCUCAGUUCGACUCUGAGUGGGAGCA